rnacentral:rRNA from 1 species
GGAGUCUGGUCCGUGUCUCAGUACCAGUGUGGGGGACCUUCCUCUCAGAACCCCUACGCAUCGUCGCCUUGGUGGGCCGUUGCCCCGCCAACCAGCUAAUGCGCCGCAUGCCCAUCCCGGGACGGAAUCCUAUCACAGCCAGGCCAUGCGGCCUAGCUGCAUACGGGGUAUUAGGCCGCGUUUCCGCGGGUUAUCCCCCAGCCCGGGGCAGGUUGCAUACGUGUUACUCACCAGUGCGCCGGUCGCCAUCAAGAGUAUUGCUACCCUCAUGCUGCCCCUCGACUUGCAUGUGUUAAGCCUGUCGCUAGCGUUCAUC